GAAGUAGUCCCUCCGUCCGGAAAAACUUGUCAGAAAAAUGGACAAAAAGGGAUGUAUGUAGAAAUAAAAUACAUCUAGAUACAUCCGCAUUUAUUCAUUUUGAUGACAAGAAAUUCCGGACGAAGGGAGUAGAAG
rfam:Triticum urartu cultivar G1812 contig977439, whole genome shotgun sequence.